rnacentral:ribozyme from 1 species
GAGGAAAAGAAGGAAAAGAAAAAGAAAAAGAAAGCCAAUCAGAAUCUAGCAGAGAUUAUCCUUCUUCUCCUUCUUCUGUUUCUUCUAAUGCCACUGCUUUUGCUCAU